UGACUCAUUCUCCACCUUGACUCAUUCUGAUUACCUACUCCAUCCUGACUCAUUCUCCACCCUGACUCAUUCUGAUUACUUACUCCACCCUGACUCAUUUUCCACCCUGACUCAUUCCGAUUACCUGCUCCACCCUGACUCAUUCUCCACCUUGACUCAUUUCAUAACCGUUUUUCCCUCCAAACAACUCACCCUGUCACUCUCUUUAAAUUACUCAAUCAGAAUUAGUUUAGCCUGUACGGUCUAACCCUAGCCAAUAGGGGAAUGACAAAGCAGUAGGGACCAUGUGCAUAAGGAAAAAUAACCCCUUUCCCUCCUUUGUCCAGGUGUGCACUCACCAGUCCUCCAUCUGUAAGGGCAUACCCUUCUAUAGAAGUACCUUGCCCUGCUGAGAAUUAAAAAGAAAAUUUUAUAUUCGAGUGCUAUUUCUUUUGUGGCACCGAAACUUUACUUAUAACAAUUUGGGGGCUCAUCCGGGAUUACAUUCCCCUCCGGGGGUGGUCUCUGGUUCUCUCUUGUGAGGAGGUGCACCCCACCCCACUGUGGCGGCCUCAGGGGUGAGAAAUCAAGACCCACCCAGUGUGAAGAAUAACCUGAGCUCUCAGCUACAUGGAAAGAAACUGGCUAGCAACCUAGCUUAAAGCAUCCUCCAUAAGGGCCACACAAGUGUGUGCAUGGACCGAGGAAAAGACACCAUGGGAGCCGGUAAAGUAUUUCCUUGGUGGUUGGGAGCAAGGUUAAUUAUAUUCUAAAGCAUACCAAGCUCUUCGUGUUUGCUGCUGGAGUGACUGUGUGUUCCCUUGCCCUUAGAUGAAGAAAUGCUUUCAAAACCUCUGAAGAUGCCUGAAUGGUCUGAGGUUCUAAUGGUUUACAUUUUCUUAUCGUUCAUAUGGAUAAAAAUAUGGCUGCAUUCCAACUGUCAAGAUACAUUUGUGUGUUGCCUAUAAAACUAGCUCUUCUGUUUAAAUGAAGAGCAGAUAAAAAGCAUGUAUGCAAUUAGUCUAAUCGGUUCAAUGGCAAAUUACAGAGCAAAGAUUGUGGUAGGAUAAUCUUUCGGAUUAUUCAUUCUGAGUUUAAAAAUGUUUUGGCUUCUAACAGAAAUCCUUUAAUUAUAUGCUAAAGUGGUGAUAACCUCAUUACAAUAGUUUUGCUUAUUCCUCAAAGCAUUUAUUAGUUUACUUCUUUAAAAUUUGAAAGUGACUAUAAAGUUAGGAAGUAAACAUUUUUGAAAGGAUCAAUUAAUGAUUUAAUAAUUUGAAUUGUUCUCCAAAGAUUAGACAUGGCAAUUGAAAAUAAAUGUAGAAAUCUCUUCCCUAUGCUCAUCAAAAUUUUGACAUGUAUUCAUAUGCCUACUUAUAAAGGAGAUUGGCAGCACAUAAUUGAUACCAUCUAGCCUUUAUUUACAGCAAUCAAACAUAAGACCUUGACAACAUUAACAUGCCCUGUGUGCAUGUGUGCACAUACUCAUAUAUACACACACUCAUAUAUACACACCCACACAUAUAACACCCAUACACACACAUACAUAUACACACAUAUACACACAGAUACAUAAACACACACAUACUCUUCACAGUCUUUCUAGGUGAAUCCCCCAAUCUAAAAUGGCCUCCCUCCACACACCCUGUUUGUUUGUAUUAUCUCUAGCUUGCCUUUGCUUUUUGUCAUUGCCCAGGAGUGCCAAAUGCACCCAAUUUCAUCUUCAUUUGUUUAUGGGCUUGUCUAUCUCCCCACUGGAACAGUGCCCAGGGGGGAUAGUGGCUGUUUCUGAAUUGUUCACUGCUGUAUCCUCAGUACCUAGAUCAAUGCACGGCUCACGAUAGGUGCUAAGAAUUUGUUCAGUGAAUAAGUGACUGUUCCCAUUUGGACUUAAGCUUGUGCAGGGAAAAAAACAGACUGCUUUUCCUCUGCUCUCACCCCACAAUCAACACAGAAGACUUCUAUGGCCAAAUGUGUGCAUUUUUCCCCCCAUAUACUAAGCAAUCAAUCUGUUCCACAGCAGAUGCCAGCUGGGAGUCCUCCAGCCCAGGCAGUGCUGAGUCUACUGGAGAUAGCGUCAGACCCCACGGAAUGAAGGCUCAGUCCCACAAGACUGCCUCCACUUCCGGUGCCAAUCGCAAACCCCAGGUUGUUCACUUGUCUUCUGACUGACCAGCUAUAAAUCAGGGAUCCCAUGGAGCCGCUCAUAGAACUCAGGAAAUCUCUUAUGUUUGCUAGUUUAUUACAAAGGACGUUACAAAGACUGCAGAUGAAGAGGUGCACAGGACAGGGCAUGGGAGAGGGGUGUGCCACCCUCUAGGCACCUCCACGUGUUCAGCUGUUUAGGAAAAUCUCUCAAACCCUGUUCUUCCUCUCCUCUCACACCUCAGCAGCCAUCAAUGCAGAAGACUUUUGUGACCUAAUGUGGUGGGGUUGGUUUCUUCACAUAGCAAUCAGUGGACACCAGCUGGGUCCCUCUAAUUCAGUUCUAACGCUAUCUACUUGGAGGUAACCUCAGAUCCCACAGGUUGAGGCUUAGUCCCCAAGACAGCCCGCCUCAGACACCAGUGGCAAGUCCAGGCUCUGAAACUUCUGACUGACUGGCUGGCUAUAAAUUGGGGAUACCAGGACCCUCUUUGGGUUUAAUUUGUUGGAGUGGCACACAGAACUCAGGGGAACACCAACUUGUGUUUACCAGUUUAUUGUAAAGGAUAUUACAAGGAUACAUCCAUCAAGGAUACAGAUAAUGAGAUGCGGAGUGAGGUAUUGGGGAGGGCACAGAGCUUCCACGCCCUCCGUGGGUAUCACGCUCCAGGACCCUACCCAGGCUCAACCACCCGGAAGCUCUCUGAACCCUGUCCUCUUGAGUUUUUAUGGCAGCUUCAUUAUGUAGGCAUGAUUGAUUAAACCAUUGGCCAUUGAUGAUCAACAUAACCUCCAGCUUCUUCCCCUCCCUGGAGAUUAGGAGGUGGGACUGAAAGUCCUAGCCCUCUAAUUGUGCCUUUGUCUUUCUGGUGGCCAACCAUAUCCUGAAGCUAUCAGUAAACAUCAGCAAACAAAAAGACAGCACUUCGAAGUUUCCAAGGAUUUUAGGAGUUGUAUGCCAGGAAAACUGGCGAAGACCAAAUAUAUGUAUUUCAUAAUAUCAUAGCUUCCUUCUCUGAAUUUCUGUAAGACUUUAGCUUCACAUGUGAAAAUAAGUAAUUCAAAAUCUAAGCUACUGAAACUUUGAAAUAUUUCAAGCCUUAAGGAAAUGUGAUUAUGGGAUCUGAGUCAUGCAAACAGGCAGCUGUAAUGUAGGCAGCUGUAAUCUUUAUUUCUCUGAUUAUAGAUUAGCCUUCUUCCUUACCUACAGUGUUUUGUAAAAUGCUGCAAAUGACUAAAGAGUGACAAGAAAGACCCCUUCCCUCUUCACUACUGAUCUUUGUUAUAGAUUAACAUCCUUCUUACCUUUCUCACACAAAGACUUUGGCUAUCACCUUGCCUAAAAUAAAAUGUUAAAUAUACACUUUUAAAUUGGAAACAAAAACUAGCUGUAAAGAAAAGAAAACGUGUCACAUGGAGAAAAAAGCAAACUGCACUAAUUAAAUUUUUGCAACUAAUAAACCAGACUUGCAUAGAAAAUGUUAUAAUCCUACUAAACUUCUUUGUUUUCUGCCUAAUGAGAAAUAAAAAAUAAAAUCCUAAGCCCCCCAUGUGACUAAACAGACUCCCUCUUAGCCAAGAGGACCCUGAAGAAACCUUAAAAAAAACAGCUCUCAGCCAUGACAGUAUAGGAUGUCAGAUGGGCCUCAUGAUAGACCCUCCUUUGCUAAAUGCCAUUAGACUUUCUUUUCCUAAGCUUUAAACAAAAACCAGCCCUCCUGAAAGACUUACUUGACUGCUGAUUUCAACCAAUCACCUGACACUACCCCGGUUUGGUGGACAGCAACUGAUCAACAUUCCUUCCUGGUAAGAGACCACCAACCAUGGAGUGGUUUGGAUCAGUUUAAAGAGACUGCACAAUGAGGGCCUUCAGGUCAUCUGCUUUACCUUUUGAUGUAUAGGAUCUAAUUAUAAUACAUUUAAAUGAUAAGUCUCCACCCCAAAGUAAACGUGGGAUACAUGUUACUUAUGUGUUACUCUACUACACAUGCCUAUGCCUCCCCUUUGUAAAAUAUUCAGAGCUCCUCUUAUAACCUGUAGAAUAUAUAUACCUAGCCAAUCUGUUCAACAUAAGUUCCUGUCUUAUCCUUCCCUCCCUUGAAGUGCCUGCUUUCAGCUUCUGAAAGAGGCUAUGCUUCCCAGCCUACAGGCAGCAACCCUUUAUGAGAAAUAAAGCUCUCCUUUCCAAAUUUAUGAACCUCAUGAUUCUUCAGAUGACACUAUAUAUAAAAGCAAAACAACUUUUAAGUUCAAAGUGCUGACCCUACUUCUCUAGUGUCUUUGUCUUCCAGAUGGUCAUUCCCAGCUUUUCACCAGAAUAAGCUUUUUAAACUGGAUUCUGAUCAUUUCUAUUAUUUCAGGCUGACACACAUAAUUCAUCACCUCCUUCAUCUUACUACAGUCAUUCAUUCAUUUACCAUGUCUUCCUGUGAGCUCCCUGAGAGCAGGUUCUGUGGUAGGUAAAUUUGUGUUCCCUCUGGCACUCAACUCAGGAACUUGACAUUGAAAGGUGCUUAAACAUAUUAUUGAAGAAAUGCAUUCAUCUAUUCAAGUCCUGUUUCCUAAGAACAUUUCAGUAAAGUCUAUUCUGUAAAAAUGUUCAUCUAUGGACAUGUAUAGAUAUUUGUUUGAUUAUAGCUAGGAGCCAGUAUUAGCAUUGAAGAUUUGUUCUUAUAGUGCAUGUUCUCAUAAAACCAAGUCUGGACACGAUCAGUUUCUGUCCUUGGCACAAUUGGAGAAAGAUCUUUGCUGCCACAAUUUCCUAAAUGCCUGUCUUGUUGUCCAAGCAUGAAAGGGUUUCCUUUGCCACAUCCUCACUUUGCACUUCUCAGAGUCAGGUUCUCUGUGUCCCUGGUGCUUAAAUCAUUUUAGGCUAAAGGAAAAUGAUAAUGAAGACACAUAUUCUCCCUCUCAUUCACUGCCUCUCUCUUCUGGUGGUUUCUAUCUUAAUGGAUUGAUAUAGUUUGGCUCUGUGUCCCCACUCAAAUCUCAUGUUGAAUUAUAAUUCCCAAUGCUGGGGGAAGGACAUAGUGGGGGGUGAUUGGAUCAUGGGGGUGAAAUUCCCCCCUGCUGUUCUCAUGAUAGUGAGUGAGUUCACACCAGAUCUGAUGGUUAAAAGUGUGUGGCACAUCCCCAUUUGCUGUCUAUCUCUCUCUCCUGCCACCAUGUAAAGAGGUGCAUUAGAUUAAAUGAAAUGAAAUAAUAUUUACUAACUACGUCCUCUUCACCUUUUGCCAUGAUUGUAAGAUUCCUGCGGCCUCCCAGUCAUGCUUCCUGUUAAGCCUGUGGAACUGUAGGUCAAUUAAACCUCUUUUCUUCAUGAAUUAUCCAGUCUCAGUAGUUCUCUAUAGCUGUGUGAGAACAGACUAAUACAUGGAUCUUAAUCCUAGAGAUGGACUCUUAAGCAUUGUCUUUUUUGGGACAGCACUGGAAUAAAAAUUUUCAGAUUUACAUGAGCCAAGAGAAGAGAGCAACGCUCUGAAUUAUCCUUGGGGAAACGGGGGAAGACAAAGUCUGCGGCACCCUGCAACUCACCCCGUAAGCUGUCGGCCUGCUGUAAAGACAUGUAGGGUGUUAAUUCCUUAUAUGACAAAACAAAUUUUGAUAAAUUUGAUUAGAAUUUUAUAUCUUGUGCUGUUUUCUAGGAUGCACAUGGGGAAGACGGACAUUUUUGUAAUUUUAGUAAAGUUCUGUAGGAUGAUGCACUGUGUAGCUAAAGGUGGUUGUUGUUGUGAUCUCAUGUUAUGGUUCUAGAUUUCCAGGUAGUAAUUUAAGUGUAGAGUAACAUAAUGGUGCCAGCCAUUCAUUUUAUGUUAAGUGUGCUUUUCCCACUCUCAUACCACAAAGGCAAUGUUAAAUAAUUACAGAGAAUUGAUUAUGAGGCCAAGAAAAUGAAAGGCUACUUUUGAAUGAUGCUUUAAUACAACUUAAAAGUUAAAUGUGAAGGAAACAGAUAGACUUCUAGAUUCAUUCAGAGCCCAAGGCCCUGUUACUUCUAAAAUCACAGAGUUAAUAAUCUCAACUUGGGGAGACUGAUUUGCUGUUAAAGAUCAUGCAAAGAGUGAGGCUAGUGAAUAUUAGUGAUUCUAGAAAAGUGAUUCUCAAAUAUUUUAUUACGUUGCGGCUAACAAAAUUGUUAAGGAGAGACCUGAGUAGAGAGACUCCUGAGUGUAACACUUAGUACCCUGAAAGUGUAAGAUUUGGACUCCAUUUUAUGAACAUUUUAAUCCACGUGAUCAUUGUUUUGAUUGAAAUGUCUAUAUAAUUGAGCCUGGUCUUAACAUUUCCUUAAAUAUUCACCAUUAGAAGUAAUCUUCUGUGAAAAAAAAAAAAAAGGAUCUCUUAGUUGGCUGAUCUUGGCUUGCUCAUUUUAAUACUAGGAAAAUGAUGUUAAUUUUUUUAAGAAAGACUUAAUGGUGCCAUGAUUAAGGGUGAUGGUUACUGGUGCUUAAAAAAAACUUCCCUCCCCAAUUUUAUGAUAUUUGUGCAUUUUAGAAAUUUUUGGAUAUCUUUUAAGGAAAGCACUGAGCAUGUCACAGAUAACCUCUGUUGAUAUUUUUACGUAAACCUUUCUUUUUACUGUGCUUACGACAUUUUUAAUAAAAUAAGAUCACAUUGUGCAAAGUAAAUAUGGAGUCCUUUGUAAUCUGUAUUAUUUUAAAACUGAAGUAUUAAAGAUUAUUCCAUUCCACUUAAUAUUAUUUUUCUGCAUCAGGCAUUUGAACAUGUGGUCUGUGACCCCACAUAAGGAGGUGAUGGCAGUGAUGCCACCGCCCAUCAGGAAGGCAGCUGCAGCCUCACACCCAACAGCAUUGAACCUUAAGGUCAUGGCUGGGAAUGUAGACCCGUCCAAUGUUCUCAAUUUGUUUUCCAGUGAGGGCUCUAGGACGAAAUCCUCUUUCAUGAGUCAUGUGAAAGAUGAAACGUGUGGCACUGAGUUUUGCAUUCAAAAUAAAAAGAAUAGACUAUUCUAACAUCUGUUACGUUGCUGUUUUGCUUAUUCUUGUGGAACUUAAGAACAAAGUGAAAACACCUAUUGGUUAGUUGCUUUCAAAUAAAAUGUAUUCAUCGCUAAUUUGUCCUUGUGAAAGGGUGCCCAUUCCUAAUGCAGGUGCACUGGCCGUGUGCACUCCAUGGUCCCAGCAGCUCUCGCUCCCUGGACUCCCGCCGUAGUGAGCGUUUACUAAGGACCUGUUGAUCUGGAAAGACAAACCCAACCCAAAGGAGAUUAAGGGUAUCGUGCAGCAGUUUUUGGUGUUACUGACGACCAGCUCUGACGAGAGUCUUCGGUUUCUUAGCUUCAGGCUGGACUUCAACGAGCAUUACAAAGCCAGGGAGCCCAGGCUCCGCGUGUCUCUGGGUACCAGGGGGCGGCGCAGCUCCCACACGUGAAGCUCGCGGUCCUCCCAGGGAGCUGCGGGUGAUGUUCGUUGCACUGCUAGACACGAAAUUCCCAUUGACGUCCUGCAGGAACUGCAUGCUGCAGGUGUCCUGCCCUUCCGCCCACGAGUGCGCCAUGUUUCAGCGGAGCGGCGUGUGGGAGAAGCCACGUCGUGUUGCACACGUCGGAGUUGAAUGCAUUUGUAAAUCACUAAGUCAAGUAGGCUGGCUGCACUGUUCACAUUUGUCUCUAAAAGUCUUCAUCCCCAAAAGAUACCAUAAUUUGCUGAGGCUUCUGAAUCUUAAGUGCUCUAAGUUAUAACUUAUAUUUGUCACUUUAAAAGAACUGUUUGUUUAGCAAAAUCUACAGCAAGGGUAUAUUUAUAAAGUGAUAAUGUCAUUGCUGUUAUUUAGCAUCCUCUUCAGAAACUUUUUUUUGCAAUAUUAUUAGAUUAAACUGAAAUACAUAGAAAAUAUAGAGAGCAUUUUAUUAUCUUGGUAUUCAAGGUUGUAAAGUGUGAAAAUUUUUGUAUCUUACAUAUAUCUAUUCUUUUCUCUCUCCUUUCAAGGUUUACACUUACAGAUUUAAUUUACUAUUCUAGAUAACUUCUAAAAUAGUACAGAACACGAGUAGGAGUGUUGUGGAACAAAAACAUCCUUAAACUUAAAUUUCUUGACGCCACCAGCUGAAGCAGUGUGGCAACAGGAAUGACUAGAAAGUUAACAAAGUAUUUUAUUUUUACAAUUUUGAUGAGCAUUAUAAAGAAAUCGAUUUGGAUAAUGAAGGUUUCUUUUUUCUUUGACUAAUUUUUCCUUGUAAAUAUUUAUAUACUAUUGACCAGAUGCUGGGGAGAACGGUGUCUGUAAAAAGUCACGUCAUAUCAGCUUGCCUUUAUUAUGCUGUAUAAGUGAAAACUUAGAAAACUGAAAGCAAUUAUCUUUCAAAGCAUUGGCUGUUUUUUGAAUAGUCUAUUAAGUGACAGUUCAUUUGCCAGGGGGGCGGGGAUUGACAGGAUUUGAUUUAAUGUAGUACAGCAUAUGAAUUAUUUAAUCAUAAUUAGAAACCAAGAAAUUAGAUUUUGUGUGACUUUCGGUGUAGAAGCAAACGCAAUGUCACCACUCAGGUCUCAGGAGCGGUGCUUUAGUUAUCUGAAUCUGCCUCUGACUCCUUUAGGUGUGGAUUCCCUUUAAAACUAAAGGGGCCAUCAAGAAUCCUGGCCAUGCAGAAAUGAUUCCAUGGCAAAGGCCAGAAAUUCUUAGGAUAAAAACUUAAUUUAAUUUUAGUUUUCAAGUUCAUAAAAUCAGAAAUUUGAAACAGAUUUCUCCACUGCAAGUUGUCCUAGAAAUUAUGGCGUAUUGUGUAUCUCCGAGAGAGGUUUACCAAGGUUAUUAACCAUGCAGCCAGCUUUUAUUUUAUUUUAUUCAGAGAGUUGUUCCAGGGAUUAAUCCUCGGUAGAAACCACCCUAGCAAAGGCCCACCUCGAUUUUAGGGAUUACGACUCCAUUGGAGUGUAGGAGUCACCAGGACUUAGGUCAGAUCUGUGGGCUAUGGAGGGCUUCCGGGAGGUGCGGCCCUGGGGGGUGCCUGCGGGUCUGGAGGGUGGGAGCUGGGAUGGGGUGAGGCCUCUGAGGAGCUGCGUGAGACCCACUCUCCGUCAUUGUGGGUGCACAAUCAGGCCCCUUAGGGAGCCAGGGCCCCAAAACCCAGCAUCAGCCAAGCAUGGAUGACUUGGGGGUUCCACACUGGGGUUGUGCGUAAAGGAGAGCUCCUCUCAGGGGUGGGUGCGCCCGGCCCGGGGGUGCCACGUCUUCACCCAGAAAACGAGGCCGAGUCUGCAGGGGCCCUGCUGCAUGGAUGGAGGUGUGGGUGGUUGGUAGGACCCCAGGC
rnacentral:lncRNA from 10 species